GAUCCUGGCUCAGGAUGAACGCUGGCGGCGUGCUUAACACAUGCAAGUCGAACGAAGCACUUUAAUUGAUUUCUUUCGGAAUGAAGUUUUUAGUUGACUGAGUGGCGGACGGGUGAGUAACGCGUGGGUAACCUGCCUCAUACAGGGGGAGUAACAGUUGGAAACGACUGCUAAUACCGCAUAAGCGCACAGGAUUGCAUGAUCCAGUGUGAAAAACUCCGGUGGUAUGAGAUGGACCCGCGU
rnacentral:rRNA from 1 species